rnacentral:lncRNA from 1 species
AGAAAGGCUUUUACUGGGCAGACGGGGUGAGUCUCAAGCCAGUGGACCAGUGAGGGGUGAGGGCACGUCCUCCGAAGGAGCAGGGGGAGGUUGAUCUCUCUCAGGGAGAACUGUGGGGUGGGGAUGUAGCCUUGGGAGGGCCCUUCAGGAAGUAGGAGUGGGGGGUUGGGGAGUGUGGUAGACCCAGAAACUUCUGGGGACGUCAGUCAUAGUUACUAAUAUUUGGAGGCAGUGGGAGAUGCUGGCCCCAAGGUUGAGGUAUCAGUUAGAGCAGAACAAUUGGACCUAGAGCUGGUUUUUCCUUUGGGUUUAGGUGUAAGUGAACUAUUAUCAUUGGAGUGGAGAACUGGAGAGAAAGGGUUGUCACUGUCCAGCACUACACAGCUGCAGGCACACAGAUGGUACACAUUCCCAGAAAGACACAUAGGUAGACACGUGGCUGUACACCCAUGCACACACACACAAUCACGCAUACCUGUAGGCAUGUGUGUAAACACCCACAUGCACCCACACCCACAUGCCUGGCAGUACACAGAACUGUAUGCAUCCAUUUGUGCCAGGCUGGGGCCUUGAGUGAUAGGAAAGGGGUCUGUGAUGGGUAGAUAGUGUGGUUGGAGACACGGAUUUCUUCCUGAACAAAGUCCCUCCCCUACAUGGUGGACAUGGGAUGAGACGGCCUUCAGUUACUUCCUCUUGACCCCCAGGGCUGCCUGCCGCCUCAUGUAGGACAGGAUGUCCAUCUUGACGUUGCUGACCGUGGUCCGGUGGUGCCAGCG